GCCAUCUUGAACAGUAAUGCUAAUUUAAAGUUAUAUACCUCGAAAAAACACCCUAUAUAUGGUAUUUUCAAACGUUGAAAAAUCUCAAUCUGUCAUAAACUAAUAUUUAUGCAUUGCAGGAGUUCAAAAUAACACCAGACGCAAUUCAACAAUAUUAUCAACUAAUCGAAACGAGAAAUCAAAAUUCGCCAUUAUUAUGACUAUAUUGAUAUGCCAAAGAUCAUUUUCGUAUACUGAAUUGAUACUGGCCAAACUUUUGCGAAUUAUAUUACGUAUGAGCAUAAACGAGUGAUGCAAAUGCACGUAUAAUCUUUCUAAUUUAUCAAACAAGAUAUAAAAAACCAGUCUUUAUGUCAAAUAUUCCAAUAAACAUAUUUGCAUCAUUCUAUACAACACUUCGAAAGGAGACAUACCAUCAUAGAUAUUUUUGUUUAGAUUGUUGUUAGUGUUAUACAUAUUUACUUAGUGUUAUAUGUGUUUUUUCAUUCAGAAACUGUUGAUCAUCGAAUGUAUCUGUUUUAAAUCCGUGCCACAACCAGAUUUUUUGAUCUCUAUUCAUUACAAAACGACUCAGCAAUUGAAGACUCAACUGUUUCUUCAAAUUUCAAGUAUUUAUUCCAAAAACUGAAUACAUAGUAGCAAAUUUGGAAUAUCGAAAUUAAAUAAAAAUAUGGAUUUUCGGUUCCAUUUACCUACAAUAAUUGAGUUGGUAUGUUUUGGAGUGAUGAUUUUUUGUCUUUAUUAUUAAAUCAUUAUUUGAAUGUUAUUGUCGAAUGUUCUUUGAUGAGUUUUUGUUUCUUCAUUAAUUGUAAGGAGAGUUUAUAACAAUACAAGUGUUCACAGUAGUAGAUUAAUACAGUUAGCUGUUUUAAAUGUUUCAAUGUCCACUUUUAAUUUUUGUUCAUUUGCAGAAGACAUGUUGACAAUUUGUAUCUAUAUCAUUGUGAUUAUGCAAAUGAUAGUCUUUGUAGUGAUAAUACUUGUUCUUUAUUACCUCUUUCAGUUGAGACAUACUAUGAGUGUCUUGAGUAGCUGAUAGUUAAUAAUUAUUACAAUAUAAUUGAAUAAAUUUGAUGUGAGCUGAAAAGCCAAAUAAUUUUCGAAUAAUAUUGAUUCUUCUAUUCUGAAUAAGUGAGAAGAACUAUUCUCAAUCUGAAAAUUUAAAUAACGAUUGUGAAUCAGAGCAGAGUUCAAUAAUGAUGGAAGAAAUUUUGAAAAUAUUUUCACAUUCUCACAUGAUUUUACUAUUGUCAUUUGUAGUAUUAUCAAUUAAAGAGAUAGGUGCUAUUGUAUACAGGUCUAUAAUUAGUUUCCAAUGUUUAAAUUGGUUAAAUAAUCAUUAAUAAUGAAAAAGAAACUAUUAUGCUAUUUUGACGAAAAUGUUUAACCUAUGAUAAUUUUACUUUCAAUAUUUAUUCCACUUUUAGGUAUUGAUAUUGUUGUAGAUCUCAAAUAUGCCAAAUCAUAAAUAGUCUCUCUCAAUUUCGAAUAUUGAAAUGUGUAUUUUUUUAGACGAAUUUUUGUGAAAUCAAAAGAAAUGAAAAUAAGCUUUUACUUAUUUCAUAACCAAUAUUAUAUAAUAUCUAAUAUCUAUAAUAUAACUAUUUCGGUUAUGGAAAAAUAGUAUUGCAUUCUAGUACUUUUAGUUGCUAUUGUGAUUAUGACAGGUGAUAUCGAAAUCACUAUUCCUAUACUCAAAAAUUAGAACUAGAAGUUUAACAUUCUUUAAUUGAGAAAUGUGUUUUUGAUUGUGAGUAAUUCUACAAUUUGUGACUUGUAUUCUCAAUAUAUCAAUUAAUAACGA